CAUUACAUUGAGCCCUUCCAAUUUCUUUCUCCAUCAGCCUCCAUCAAAGGUUGCUAAGGUAUUGAUUUCCAAUCACCACAGGCAACACAAUAACAACGUAUGAUCAUGUUUCUGUCCCCAGUGACUUGUGGGUACCAGUGCGUGUCGGUCCACUUCCAGACCCCGCAGCCGGUCAAUGUACUCCCAGCCGGACGUCUAGUUCUCCAGGUCCAGAGCGACCACGGUCCAAAAGAAAUUAUCUCCAUGAUAACCUGGGAGCGGGAGCCAGAGAAUGCAAAAACUCCAGGGAAUCCUGGGAAAAUGACGUUGAUUACGUUCCCCGGUCAAGACAAACUCUUGGACGGGCGUCUGAGUCUGGAGCAGCAGGGGUCAAUACUGAAGCUGGAGGGCUUUGGCGUGGCGGACAGCGGGGUGUACAUCGUGACCGUCACUGACCAGGCUGGUGUCAAGACCUCUGCGCAGUGUAUCGUCAAGGAGUACGAGGCUGUGCACCACCCCUCAGUGAGAGUGAACGCGUCCCACUCCUCCCUGUUCUGUGUGGAGACCUGGGGGACAGACCUUAAAUUCAGCUGGCUCCACGAGCGGGCAGCCAUCUCCGAUGCUGUGGGACACGUGUCGCCUGAUGGGAAGACCCUGUUCAUCUCCUCCUCCCCCAUCUGUGGUCACUUCACCUGCAUGGUGAGCAACAAGCUGGGCCACAGCUCUGCCACCUACACAGCAUAGCCGUGUGAGAGAGAGGACAAAAGGACCACGGUGGCAGUGGUCUGGCUCAUCAUCCUACUGGUCUGUGGAGCAGUGCUAGCUUUUCUACUGUGGAGGAGACACAGGCGAUACAGUAACAGAGGAGAGAGGCUUCAGGAGCAUUUUGAGGACAACUUGUAACGGUGAACCAUUGAUUACAGUACCCAAGUACUUUCGCUACACUCCCCUACUCAAAGAUGGACUCAUAAAAGGACAGUAAGUGUGCAAAACGCUUUGGGAGGAGCUUCCUUCCCUGUGAGCAGCAAGACCUUUCAGUGCAUUGGAACAAUGUGGAAAGUGAACUGCUUUGUUGGCCAAUUGACGAGUUCUAAAAUUGGAAAGAUCAACUUUUGCCCAGUGUGUUGCCUGUUUUUGUAGAAGCUAUCAUUUUUAUCCCGCCUCUCAUUGUACUGAACUACACUUGAUAUUUUUUUAUGUAACGCUCUAAAAUGAUUUGUUUUAAAAACAAUUCCUUAUUCUCUAACUUUUCUAUAUUGUAAACAUAUUGUAUAUUUUGCUGCCUAUUCUUUGUAAUAAAAAGCACAUUUUAAACUG